CUUCAUCUUCUCCUCCCCCUCCUUCCGUGAUGCUCACUCGCCUAUAAAUAGCCCUCGCUGCCUGCCAUUGUUCCUCAAGCCAGCAAGCAAGAAGCACACAGGAAGCUCCUAGCCAACACCAAUCAAGGCCUCCAUCCAAUCCCAAGCAACCUCGAAUAUGUCUUGCUGCGGAGGAAACUGCGGAUGCGGCACCGCCUGCAAGUGCGGCAACGGCUGCGGUGGCUGCAACAUGUACCCCGAGGUUGAGGCCGCCGGCGCCACCCUCCUCGUCUCCGCCACUGCCACUCACAAGGGGUACGUCCCUUCUCUUGACAAAAUUUUCUCCACAGCUCAUACAUCAUCAUGCACUCGAUCUUUUUUUUUUGCGGGGUACGUGCAGGAGCUCCGGCGGCAUGGAGAUGGCGGCCGAGAACGGCGGCUGCGGCUGCACCCAGUGCAAGUGCGGCACCAGCUGCGGCUGCUCCUGCUGCAGCUGCUAGAUCAUUGAUCAUGCAUGCGCCGCGUGCAUCAUAUCUAUGAUCUACGUAUCCAUCUACUACCAUGUAAUGCCACCUGAUCGAGGGUCUUUGUAUGUAUGUAGUAUGUACGCACCUGCCUGCAUGAGCAGAGCGGGUGCCAUUCCAUGCAUGUAAACCCCUAAAUAAAAUCUCCCGUGGUUUUGCUUACAUCGUGUUGUUAGAUCCUCCUCCUAUUAGUGUUGCUUUCGGGUUCUUCUUAUGCACUAGCAGGAUCAGAGGCCGGUCUUUUGUUCUUGGUCUUCUCCUCAAACUGUCGUUUUCCUCUUCUCUAUGGUUCCAUGUGCGGCAGUAUUUUCUUCUUCUGUUGCCGAGUGUUGUAUCAGACUGUACCUUGUUUUGUGGUUUAUUCCUAUCCAUCUCGAAAUAUAGUGCAGGAAUUUAUUUGCAAAAGGUGGAUCUCAACAAGACACGACGGUAUGUGUAUCUUGCAGGAUUUAUUGAUCGGUCUAUCUUAUGCAUCUUAUUAAAAAAAUACAUUAAGGUCUCAUGGUCAAGCCAAAUUAUCAUUGUUUUUCCUUGCAUGCAAAAUGCAGCAAUAAAUCUUCGUCCUUGGCUUGUUUCUCAUUUCACUGCCUACGUUGCAGGUAUCCGACCCUGUUGGAAUCUCCUUUUCUGUCAUUGUGUUCACUUUCUGUGAUGUGAUGUGUGCGCAAAUAUUCCCACAACAACAACAUAAUAAUAAAGCCAUAUACGCAAGCAACCGAAUAAUGGCAAUGAUAUAUUACUGCUCAAGGCGCAUCUCCAAAUCAACCUGUCAUGUCCAUGGCUGCGUCUAAGCACUCGGGGCAGAAAUACUCACUCUCCGCCACUGAUUCAUAUCACCGAAUCCACACGGCCAAAUUACGUCCUCCAUGUUUUAAGCGAUGCCACUAUAUCUCGUGGGAAAAUUGUUUCCACAGUUCGAUAUCCCUCCCUUUGAUGAAAAAAUUCACGCUUGGCUUCUGCAUCACAGAGUGCAGAUAACGAAUAUUGUUUUCUAUGUUCUGAACUGGAACACUAUAUCUUGUGUAAAAAAUUGUGUCAACAAUAUCGAUAUUCCCUCCUAUAAAAUAAAAUCAUCAAUAGCUCACUUCUCUAUAUAACUGGAUGCAAAGUAAUGGGCGGUGUGGAGCACCCAAGACAGCACGCAAAAUAUCGGUGUUAUUUUAACUCCACUACGUAGACAAGUCACUAUAUUUACACAAUUAUGUAAGAAAAAGAGCUCUUUUAUGGUACCCUGUAUUGAAUAUUGACCGUCCAUCUGCAAAGAUCCAAUGGUGGGUACUUAUCUGUACUGGUGAAACUGGAUUAGCAGCAUCGCUAGUACCGCACGUCUCACGUCCACCGGUAUACUGCUCGGAGGGCAUUAUCGGUGACUCUGCAUCACCGGCAGCCGCCCGCCGGGGCUCGCCUCCUCUUCGCCCCCAUGCCCGCUGGGGCGCCUCCUCCCUGCCUUUAAUCCGCUGUGCUAUGCAUGCUUCUAUGGUUUUGGACUUCUGGCAUGGCACCGUGCGCCCCAUCCCCCUUCCACGCUACGGCCGCGAUGUUCUUUGCCGCCCCGCAUGGCUGAGCAGUGAGCACCUUAGCAUCGCGUUUAUUGUGUUGCCUCGUUCAUGACGACAGUGCAUGCCAAACCACCCUGCGUUGACGAUGAGGCCAGGAUGUGUACAACGUCGUGGUCUUCACGGAGAGCUGCGGCUACGAGAGUGCCGGAGCCUGGCGGAACCUCGCCUAUUUUGUGCUAACCAUGCCCUCGCUACGCUCAUGGCCGUCCUCCUUUAUUUUACUACCGCUUGCCUUCAUGAUCGAGCUCUUCAUGGCCUGGAUCACGCUUUACUUUAGCCUCAGCUUGCCGGACGUGGAGCAGCUACUCAUCUGCCUUUGCUGUGAGGUCGACGACCACGUCAUUGUUCAAAAGCUCACCCAGGCAGGGCUCAACAUACCUGUUUCCUCGUCGUCACCCCGCUGUCACAGACUCACAGGAGUGCACGAUGCAUUCCGAAAUAUUGAUUCGCCAGAGCAAUUCCCUUCACGAACACAAGAAGAGCUUUCACCGUCACAUAUACUGCUCCCUCCCCAGUAGCAGUAUAGGGUACCAUAAAAACCCUCAAGAAAAAUAAAUAACUCAGAGAACUGUCUGGCCAUAGAUGGAGCUUUCUACAGAUGGGGACAAGAAUUUGGCACCACCCACUCAAUUUCCCUCUCACCUUUUUGCAUUGCUUUCAUAUGUAAAAAAACAAAAACAAAAUAGUGAGUUGACUUGCGAUCUGCCUUAAAAUGACAAGAUGACGGUUGGGGGUUAAAAAAACAUUCAAAUGCAUUUUAUAUAUUCAUAUGUUUACUUAUUUUGUAUUUGUUUGUGCAUGUCAUAAAAAUCAUCAAUUUCCACAAGCAUACAUAAUACUCAAUGAUCUACAUUGACAAUAGGCUUUGAGAUUUUUCAACGCAUGACAAGAAAAAUCAAAUGAGGUCAGCUGGAAAUUAAAGAUCAGUUUUGACUUCCAAAAAAUUAUGAUCUCUUUUGUCCAAACUUAAAAGGAAUCAUUACAGAAAAUUUGGAGAUUCCAAUUGUUAGAAUAUUUUCCUACAGGACUAGUAGGGCUGGGAACCAUAAUGAUAUUUUCUAUGGCCUAAUUGACAUGUUUAUGUUGAGCCAAAUCUUUUGGAAAUAGUUUCGUUGAUUCAGUGACAACUAUGUGCUUGCACCUAACGCUUGAGAAAAUUCUUGUAUUUUUUCCCUCUUGCAAUAAAUCAACAUCCAUAUUUUACGCAUUUACUCCAUCUUCAAUUCCCACAGAAUUCAACACAGCAUGACCUGAAAUCUGUGUGUUAAGUUUUCCGGUUCCUGUCUUUUUAAAAUGCUGCAAAAGUAUGUGGCAUGUAAUCUUUAAAAAUAGUGGGAGUGUGAUAGUUAUUGAAAUGCAUGUAGGAUGGAAACUAAAAUUUCAGUAAAAUUCAGCUUAUAACACUAAAAUUGAAAAGGUUGCCAAGCCUAUGGCAACCAAGAGCCGCCAAGAUUUCUUAAAUAACAAAUAUUUUCGGCGACCUCCCCCAAAGAAGACAUAGCUUUUUCCUUGUCUUGACAUUCAAAAGCACUGAGUGAGGGGUAUCGGCUGAAUAUAUUCACUAAGGGCAUGCACAAAAGAGAGUUGACUAUUAUUAUUUUGCAAUGCUUUCAGAAUUUAGUUUGAUAUUGGUUUAAUUCAUAGUUCAUAAUUUACCGAGAAAUACCACUACGAGGUCAAGCACCCCUAAACUUGACCGUUAUGGCUGCAUGCAUCAAUGUAUGCCGAGGGCCGCGCGCGGGGGGUCUUGUUUGGAAAAUAAUAAUGAUCUUAUAGUGCAAUGAUUGGUCAUUGCCUAAGGUAUUUCCCUCUGUUCCAAGAUACAAGGUGUAUUUUUUAUUAAAAAAAACAAAAUUCCCUAUGUUUGACCAAAUUUAAAAUAAAACGUCUCUGUGUUUGGAAACCAUUUAUAUUUUUAUAAGCUCGAUCAAACAUAGAAGAUUUGACUUCAGAAAAAAAAAUAGUACAACUUAUAUUAUGAAACGGGAGUUAGUAGGUACACCAAUAAUUCGAUAUACGCACAAAAUGCUGGCUGUAGUUCCUUUCAUGGCUCCUUUGAUGUAAGAAAGAUGCUAGUAGAGACUAGAGACAAAGGGAAUCAAAUUAUGGGAGGAGGCGGCCCUAUCUAUAUUCCUCUUCCCCAAGCGGUUGCUCCCGUCCAUCCUUUGCCAAAAGUGGAGCAUCUCCCAUUUCCUUCUUCAUCUUCUCCUCCUCCUCCUUCCUUCGUAUUCACUCACCUAUAAAUAGCCCUCGCUGCCUGCCAUUGUUACUCAAGCCAGCAAGCAAGAAGCACAAAAGAAGCCAACACCAAUCAAGGCCUCCAUCCAAUCCCAAGCAACCUCGAAGAUGUCUUGCUGCGGAGGAAGCUGCGGCUGCGGCAGCGCCUGCAAGUGCGGCAACGGCUGCGGCGGCUGCAACAUGUACCCCGAGGUCGAGGCCGCCGGCGCCACCCUCCUCGUCGCCGCCACCGCCACCCACAAGGCGUACGUCCCUUCUCCUUCCUCAUAUAUCAUGCACUCGAUCGUAACAAUAUGACUGUAUGUUGAUCUUGGUAUGGGUGGGGUACGUGCAGGAGCUCCGGCGGCAUGGAGAUGGCGGCCGAGAACGGCGGCUGCGGCUGCACCCAGUGCAAGUGCGGCACCAGCUGCGGCUGCUCCUGCUGCAGCUGCUAGAUCAUCGGUCAUGCAUGCACCGCGUGCCUCAUAUCUAUGAUCUAUCUAUAUAUCCAUCUACCACCAUGUAACGCUACCUGAUCACGGUCUUUGUAUGUAUGUACGCACCUGCCUGCAUGAGCAGAGCAGGUGCCAUGCCAUGCAUGUAAACCCCUAAAUAAAAUCUCCCGUGGUUUAACCCCCUAUACAUGUGUUUGUGUUAUAGUCUUAUAGACCAACUUCUGGCCCAUGUUUACUAUGAACUUGCGACUUGCGAGGUGCCUGGGUUGUUAAUAGACCAGCUGGAUGCUCUCUUGAAGCAACGUAUGCACCGCUUGGAGUCGGUGUAUCUUUAUACACAUGUAUUUAUUUUACAGGUGUAUAUCAUCGGCCACACCUGGGAAAAAACGAUGGAUGGAGAAGUGUAAAUUUACAGGGGUAUUGCUCUGUGAAACGAGAAUCGAAUCAGGGCCUUAAGGGUAGGGAUGGCAAUGGGUAGGGUAUGGGCGCGUACGACUUUUUUCUGCCCAAACCCAUACCCAAAUCUUUUUUCUAUACCCAUCUAUUUCAAUAUCCAUGGACACAAAUUGGUACCCAUGCCCAUACCUAUCGGGUAUAUUAUACCCAAUGGAUAUCCAAUGGGUAUAGUAUCUAACAUUGGCAUGAUAAAGGUAAGCCAAGAAAAGGGCCUAAAACUAAAUUUAGGUACUCGGCCAUCACAAUCCGGUUUGCACUUACAUCAAAAUUUUACAAUGUGGAUUGACACACAAAUGUCUUAAUCUUCAUUACAAACUAACUUAAAAAAACAAGUUUCAAACUUGCAAUGCCAAUCACUGUAGGUAUUAUAGGGUUUAAUUUAUUUAUUAAUUUUUCUGGGUAUCCAUUAGGAUACCCAUGGGUAUAAUUUCAUACCCAUACCCUACCCAUGCAUUUUGCGGGUAUGGACACCCAUUACCCAUGGGUAUGAAGUAGUAAAAAGUCUUAUCCAUGCCCACUGUUUUCGGGUAGGGUACCCGCGGGUACCCAUACCCAUGGGCAAAACUGCCAUCCCUACUUAAGGGCGUUUGAUACAUGCGAAUAUUACUGGCCAAAGUUGAGUAUGAGAUACAUACAAUACAAACUUGACACUUUUGAAAGUCGUGCUAUCAAUCAUGAGACGCAUAGUUUAGCCAAAUUCUCGCUUAAUCUUUGUCAAAGGGUGUCACAUCUGGUUUGGCCAACCCCAUGAUCCGAUAUGUAUCCUACUCUCUGUGGUUUUCGAUGAAUAAAAUUUGGUUAAACCCUAAAAAAACUUAUUUGACGCGCCUUAGUUUUUUUCGAGAAUUUUUUUUAAAUCCGUUCAUCAAUCAUGGCAGUACAAAAAUCACAACCAGGUCCAUGAACCACCUAGCGACGACUACACUCACUGGAGCGAGCUAAACGUGCGCCGCCAUUAUCGCCCCUCCCUUACCGGAGUCGGACAAACCUUAUUGUAGUAGACAGUUGGAAAGUUAUCGUGCUAAGACCCUCAAGGACCACCGCACUGCAUAGCAACCAUCGUCGAUGAAAAGAGUUGUAGAUUGGAAAGAUCAAAGCUAUAACCACACAAGCGAAGACGAACAAAAAUGGAUCCAAUAGAUCCACCAAAGUCCAGCACGACAGAAUCCUGUGAGAUCCGGCGGGGACACACCUCCACAUGUCCUCCUCCGAUGUUAUUCGCACCACCGGGACGAGGAUCGGAUGUGGGAGACAUUAUUCCUACCCAGGGACAUCACUACCGUCACACAGCCCCAACCAAGACGUUAAACCUAACAAAAACGAGAACGGGUCCCUCCCGCUGCCGGGGGGCCAAGAUCCUCCGCACUCCGGGGAAUCGGCGCCGGCGGCAACGGGAUGAGAAAGGAAACUUUUCUUGAGAAGGAGGAAAGACAGACACAUACUGUUGUGUCUAAAUUACCGUGUCUUAGUUUGAUGUACUAUUUGCACCAGCUACUUCAUAACUAGAUUGCCAUGGUUGACGAUGGGUGUGUUCCCCUCUACUAAUAGUGCGGCAGUGCCCUAGCGGCGACAACUAUAUCAUGAACAAUUAAAACUUCACGAAAUUGGUGGCCUGGUGACUUAUGCCUGUGCCUAUAUCGCACGCUCUUUUGUGAUGACAAAGAAACAGAUUAUCAUUUUCGGAGGUUAAAUGGAAACAGAUGGAGUGAACCACAUGUAUGUUGUACCAGCAAAACAAUAUUUAAAUCGAUUCGUUGAUGAUUUCCUUGAUAUAAAAUUUGAGGUGUGCUCUACAACACCCCACCCUACCCCCGGAGCUCCUAUUUGGCACGCUAAGCGCUAGCGGUCGAGCCCGUGCGCGUCCCCUUCCCUUGCACACCCAUUUGGGUCGGCCCAUGCGCGGGGCGGGACACGCCGUUUUUAUUUUUUAUUUUUCUUUUAUUUAUUUUUUAAAUAAUUCAGGAUUUCAAAAAGUUUCAAAUUUAAAAAAAAUGUCAACUUUGAAAAAACAAAGAAAUCAUAAAAUGUUCAUGGAUUCAAAAAAUAUCUUGAAUUUGAAAGACAUGUCCGGACAUUCCCAAAAUGUUCAUAAAUUUGAACAAAAUGUUCACAAAUUAAAAAACAUGUUCAGAAAACUAAAUAAAUGAUUCUCAAUUACGAAAAUAUUGAAAAAUCAAAAAAUGUUCGUUGAUUCAAAAAAUGUUAAUUAAUUUCGAAAAAUAUUUGUCAAACAAAUAGUAUUCAUGAAUGUCAAAAAUUGUUCCCAGAUUUCAAAAACUAUUUCUUGUCAAAAAUUAUUCAGCAAUUCAAAUGUCCAUGAGUUUUAAAACAAUGUUUACAAUUUUAAAAAAUUCUUAGAUAUAAAAAAAUGUUUGUGAAUUCAAAAAAUAUUCAAGAUUAAAUUAAAUUCAUGAAUUUUUAAACAUGUUCAUGAAUUUGAAAAAUAAUCACAACAAAACAAUGUUCAUGCAAUUGGAAAAUGCUCACAAUUUAAAUAAUGUUAAAAAUCAUUAAAAAGUUCAUAAAUUUGAAAAUAAGUUCAAAAAAUGAAAGACUGAAAAAAGAAAAGAAAAACUGACAUCAAAAUAGGAAAAUAUAAAUAAGGUAAAAACGAAAACGAAAAAUAGAAAUGAAAUAAUGAAAAUGAAAAAACAAAAAUAACCCGAAAGGAAAAAACUGGUAUGGAAAGGUUCUAGAACGUUCCCAAAACCGAAAAGGAGGUACUUGGGCCGCCCCAAAAUGUGUACCUAGUGGGAGGGGCGUAUGCGCUAGGAUUAGCCCCCUAAAAAGCUUCACAACUUUUGAGCAGAUCAAUGGUCUAGAUUAAAACAUGUCCUUUACUUUAGAAGGGGUAAUAUAAAAAAUUCACAUUAUAAAAACACUUGCAAUAAAAAAGAUAACGGGCGCUCUAGAAACCCAUGGCGGCUAGUGCGACUUGUUUGGAGCUAUUCGUCUCCUUCCCAACCCUUAUCCACUACCCCGGUCGUCCAUGUAUCUGUCAAAAGUGUUAGAUGAAGGAAAUAUGCCCUAUAGGCAAUAAUAAAGUUAUUAUUUAUUUCCUUAUUUCAUGAUAAAUGUUUAUUAUUCAUGCUAGAUUUGUAUUAACCGGAAACAUAAUACAUGUGUGAAUACAUAGACAAACAUAGUGUCACUAGUAUGCCUCUACUUGACUAGCCCGUUAAUCAAAGAUGGUUAAGUUUCCUAACCAUAGACAUGAGUUGUCAUUUGAUUAACGAGAGCACAUCAUUAGGAGAAUGAUAUGAUUGACUUGACCCAUUCCGUUAGCUUAGCACUUGAUCGUUUAGUAUUCUGCUAUUGCUUUCUUCAUGACUUAUACAUGUUCCUAUGACUAUGAGAUUAUGCAACUCCCGUUUACCGGAGGAACACUUUGUGUGCUAUCAAACGUGACAACGUAACUGGGUGAUUAUAAAGGUGCUCUACAGGUGUCUCCGAAGGUACUUGUUGGGUUGGCGUAUUUCGAGAUUAGGAUUUGUCACUCCGAUUGCCGGAGAGGUAUCUCUGGCCCACUCGGUAAUACACAUCACUUAAGCCUUGCAAGCAUUGCAACUAAUGAGUUAGUUGCGGGAUGAUGUGUUAUGGAACGAGUAAAGAGACUUGCCGGUAACGAAAUUGAACUAGGUAUUGAGAUACGGACGAUCGAAUCUCGGGCAAGUAACAUACCGAUGGCAAAGGGAACAACGUAUGUUGUUAUGCGGUUUGACCGAUAAAGAUCUUCGUAGAAUAUGUAGGAGCCAAUAUGAGCAUCCAUGUUCCGCUAUUGGUUACUGACCGGAGACGUGUCUCGGUCAUGUCUACAUAGUUCUCGAACCCGUAGGGUCCGCACGCUUAAAGUUCGAUGACGGUUAUAUUAUGAGUUUAUGGUUUUUGAUGUACCGAAGGUAAUUCGGAGUCCUGGAUGUGAUCACGGACAAGACGAGGAGUCUCGAAAUGUUUGAUACGUAAAGAUCAAUAUAUUGGACGACUAUAUUUGGAUAUCGGAAUGGUUCCGGGUGAGAUCAGGAUAAUACCGGAGCACCGGGAGGUUAUUGGAACCCUCCCCCCCGGAGGUAUAUGGGCCUUAAUGGGCUUUAGUGGAAAGGAGGGAAAAGGAGCAAGGGAGGGGGCGCCCCCCCCCCCCCCAAGCCCAAUCCGAAUAGGGAAGGGGGCCACCCCCCUUUCCUUCCUCCCUCCUUCCUCUUCCUUCCCUCCCCCUCUCCAAAUAGGAAAAGGAGGAGUCCUACUCCCGAUGGGAGUAGGACUCCCCCCUUGGGCGCGCCUCCUCCCCUUGACCAGCCCUCUCCUCCCCUCCUUUAUAUACGGAGGAGAGGGGCACCCCAUAGACAGAACAAUUGAUCUCUUGGAUCUUUUAGCCGUGUGCGGUGCCCCUCUCCACCAUAGUCCACCUCGAUAAUAUCGUAGCGGUGCUUAGGCGAAGCCCUGCGACGGUAGAACAACAUCGUCACCACGCCCUCGUGCUGAUAGAACUCUCCCUCACAGCUCGGCUGGAUAGGAGUUCGAGGGAUGAAACCGAGUUGAACGUGUGCAGAACUCGGAGGUGCCGUGCGUUCGGUACUUGAUCGGUCGGAUCGUGAAGACAUACGACUACAUCAACCGCGUUGUGCUAAUGCUUCCGCUUUCGGUCUACAAGGGUACGCGGACACACUCUCCCCUCUCGUUGCUAUGCAUCACCAUGAUCUUGCAUGUGCGUAGGAAAUUUUUUGAAAUUACUACGUUACCCAACAGUGGUAUCAGAGCCAGGUUUUAUGCGUUGAUGUUAUAUGCACGAGUAGAAAACAAGUGAGUUGUGGGCGAUACAAGUCAUACUGCUUACCAGCAUGUCAUACUUUGGUUCGGCGGUAUUGUUGGAUGAAGCGGCCCGGACCGACAUUACGCGUACGCUUACGCGAGACUGGUUCUACCGACGUGCUUUGCACACAAGUGGCUGGCGGGUGUCAGUUUCUUCAACUUUAGUUGAACCGAGUGUGGCUACGCCCGGUCCUUGAGAAGGUUAAAACAGCACUAACCUGACGAACUAUCGUUGUGGUUUUGAUGCGUAGGUAAGAACGGUUCUUGCUCAGCCCGUAGCAGCCACGUAAAACUUGCAACAACAAAGUAGAGAACGUCUAACUUGUUUUUGCAGGGCAUGUUGUGAUGUGAUAUGGUCAAGACAUGAUGCUAUAUUUUAUUAUAUGAGAUGAUCAUGUUUUGUAAUCGAGUUAUCGGCAACUGGCAAGAGCCAUAUGGUUAUCGCUUUAUUGUAUGCAAUGCAAUCGCCCUGUAAUUGCUCUACUUUAUCACUAGGCGGUAGCGAUAGUCAUAGAAGCAAUAGUUGGCGAGACGACAAUGAUGCUACGAUGGAGAUCAAGGUGUCGCACUGGUGACGAUGGUGAUCAUGACGGUGCUUCGGAGAUUGAGAUCACAAGCACAAGAUGAUGAUGGCCAUAUCAUAUCACUUAUAUUGAUUGCAUGUGAUGUUUAUCUUUUAUGCAUCUUAUUUUGCUUUGAUUGACGGUAGCAUUAUAAGAUGAUCUCUCACUAAAUUUCAAGAUAAAAGUAUUCUCCCUGAGUAUGCACCGUUGCCAAAGUUCGUCGUGCCCAGACACCAUGUGAUGAUCGGGUAUGAUAAGCUCUAUGUCCAUCUACAACGGGUGCAAGCCAGUUUUGCACACGCAGAAUACUCAGGUUAAACUUGACGAGCCUAGCAUAUGCAGAUAUGGCCUUGGAACACCGAGACCGAAAAGUCGAGCUUGAAUCAUAUAGUACAUAUGAUCAACAUAAUGAUGUUCACCAUUGAAAACUACUCCAUUUCACGUGAUGAUCAGUUAUGGUUUAGUUGAUUUGGAUCACAUGAUCACUUAGAUGAUUAGAGAGAUGUCUAUCUAAGUGGGAGUUCUUAAAGUAAUAUGGUUAAUUGGACUUUAAUUUAUCUUGAACUUAGUCCUGGUAGUAUUAGCAUAUCUAUGUUGUAUAUCAAUAGCUCGCGUUUAGCUCCCCUGUUUUAUUUUUGAUAUGUUCCUAGAGAAAACUAAGUUGAAAGAUGUUAAUAGCAAUGAUGCGGAUUGGAUCCGUGAUCUGAGGAUUAUCCUCACUGUUGCACAGAAAUAUUAUGUCCUUGAUGCACCGCUAGGUCACAGACCUAUUGCAGGAGCAGAUGCUGACGUUAUGAACAUUUUGACAAAAGCUCGGUAUGAUGACUACUUGAUAGUUUAGUGCACCAUGCUUUACGACUUAGAACCGGGACUUCAAAAAUGUUUUGAACGCCACGGAGCAUAUAAGAUAUUCCAAGAAUUGAAAUUGGUAUUUCAUACUCAUGCCAGUGUCGAGAGGUAUGAGACCUCUGACAUUACUUUGCCUACAAGAUGGAGGAGAAUAGCUCAACCAGUAAGCAUGUGCUCAGAUUGUCUGAGUACUACAAUCACUUGAAUCAAGUGGGAGUUAAUCUUCUAGAUAAUAUAGUGAUUGACAGAGUUCUCUAGUCACUAUCACCAAGUUGUUAGAACUUCAUGAUGAACUAUAAUAUGCAAGGGAUAACGGAAACGAUUCCCAAGCUCUUCAUGAUGCUGAAAUCGACGAAGGUAAAAAUCAAGAAAAGCAUCAAGUGUUGAUGGUUAACAAGACCACUAUUUUCAAGAAAAGGGCAAAUGGAAUAAGGGGAAUUUCAAGAAGAACGGCAAGCAAGUUGCUGCUCAAGUGAAGAAGCCCAAAUCUAGACCUAAGCCUGAGACUAAGUGCUUUUACUGCAAAGGGACUAGUCACUGGAAGUGGAACUGCCCCAAGUAUUUGGCAGAUAAGAAGGAUGGCAAAGUGAACAAAGGUAUAUUGGAUAUACAUGUUAUUGAUGUGUACUUUACUAGUGUUUAUAGCAACCCCUCAGUAUUUGAUACUAGUUCAGUUGCUAAGAGUAGUAACUUGAAAUGGUAGUUGGACAAUGAACAGAGACUAGUUAAGGGUGGAGCAACGAUGUGUGUUGGAAGUAGUUCCAAGAAUGAUAUGAUCGUCAUCGCACACUCCCUAUACUUUCAGGAUUAGUGUUGAACCUAAAUAAGUGUUAUUUGGUGUUUUCGUUGAGCAUGAAUAUGAUUUGAUCAUGUUUAUUGCAAUACGGUUAUUCAUUUAAGUUAGAGAAUAAUUGUUAUUCUGUUUACAUGAAUAAAACCUUCUAUGGUUAUACACCCAAUGAAAAUGGUUUGUUGAAUCUUGAUUGUAGUGAUACACAUAUUCAUAAUAUUGAAGCCAAAAGAUGCAAAGUUAAUAAUGAUAGUGCAACUUAUUUGUGGCACUGUCGUUUAGGUCAUAUUGGUGUAAAGCGCAUGAAGAAAAUCCAUGCUGAUGGGCUUUUGGAAUCACUUGAAUAUAAAUCAGUUGAUGCUUGCGAACCAUGCCUCAAGGGUAAAGAGGACUAAGACUCCGUUCUCCAGAACAAUGGAGCGAGGAACUGACUUAUUGGAUAUAAUACAUACUGAUGUAUGAGGUCCGAUGAGUGUUGAGGCUCGCGGCGGGUAUCGUUAUUUUCUGACCUUCACAGAUAAUUUGAGCAGAUAUGGGUAUAUCUACUUGAAGAAACAUAAGUCCGAAACAUUUGAAAAGUUUAAAGAAUUUCAGAGUGAAGUGGAAAAUCAUCGUAACAAGAAAAUAAAGUUUCUACGAUCUGAUCGUAGAGGCAAAUAUUUGAGUUACGAGUUUGGUCUUCAAUUAAAACAAUAUGGAAUAGUUUCACAAACUCAUGCCACCUGGAACACCAUAGCGUAAUGGUGUGUCCGAAAGUCAUAACUGUGCUUUAUUUGAUAUAGUGCAAUCUAUGAUGUCUCAUACCGAUUUACCACUAUCAUUUUGGGGUUAUGCAUUAGAGAUAGCUGCAUUCACAUUAAAAAGGGCACCAUCUAAAUCUGUUGAGAUAACACCGUAUGAACUGUGGUUUAGCAAGAAACCUAAGGUGUCGUUUCUUAAAGUUUGGGGUUGCGAUGCUUAUGUGAAAAAGGUUUAUCUUGAUAAGCUCAAACCCAAAUCGAAGAAGUGCGUCUUCAUAGGAUACCCAAAAGUAACUGUUGGGUACACCUUCUAUCACAGAUCCGAAGGCAAGAUAUUUGCUGCUGAGAAUAGAUCCUUUCUAGAGAAGGAGUUUCUCUCGAAAGAAGUGAGUGGGAGGAAAGUAGAACUUGAUGAGGUAACUGUACCUGCUCCCUUAUUGGAAAGUAGUUCAUCACAGAAAUCUGUUUCUGUGACUCCUACACCAAUUAGUGAGGAAACUAAUGAUGAUGAUCAUGUAACUUCAGAUCAAGUUAUUACCAAACCUCUUAGGUCAACCAGAGUGAGAUCCGCACCAGAGUGGUACGGUAAUCCUGUUCUGGAGGUCACGUUAAUUGACCAUGACGAACCUACGAACUAUGAGGAAGCGAUGAUGAGCCCAGAUUCCGCGAAAUGGCUUGAGGCAUGAAAUCUAAUAUGGGAUCCAUGUAUGAGAACAAAGUGUGGACUUUGGUUAACUUGCCCGAUGAUCGGCAAGCCAUAGAAAAUAAAUGGAUCUUCAAGAGGAAGACGGACAGUGAUAGUAGUGUUGCUAUCUACAAAGCUCGAAUUGUCGCAAAAUGUUUUCGACAAGUUCAAGGUGUUGACUACGAUGAGAUUUUCUCACUCGUAUCGAUGCUUAAGUCCGUCCGAAUCAUGUUAGCAAUUGCCGCAUUUUAUGAUUAUGAAAUUUGGCAAAUGGAUGUAAAGACUGCAUUCCUGAAUGGAUUUCUGGAAGAAGAGUUGUAUAUGAUGCAACCUGAAGGUUUUGUCGAUCCUAAAGGUGCUAACAAAGUGAGCAACCUCCAGCGAUCCAUCAAUGGACUGGUGCAAGCUUCUCGAAGUUGGAAUAAACGUUUUGAUAGUGUGAUCAAAGCAUAUGGUUUUAUACAGACUUGCGGUGAAGCCUGUAUUUACAAGAAAGUGAGUGGGAGCACUACAACAUUUCUAAUAAGAAGUGUGAAUGACAUAUUGUUGAUCGGAAAUAAUGUAGAAUUUUCUGGAAAGCAUAAAGAAGUAUUUGAAAUGAGUUUCUCAAAUAAAGACCUCGAUGAAGCUACUUACAUAUUGAGCAUCAAGAUCUAUAGAGAUAGAUCAAGACGCUUGAUAAGUUUUUUCAAUGAGUGCAUACCUUGACAAGAUUUUGAAGUAGUUCAAAAUGGAACAGUCAAAGAAAGAGAUCUUACCUGUGUUACAAGGUGUGAAAUUGAGUAAGACUCAAAGCCCGACCACGGCAGAAGAUAGAAAGAGAAUGAAAGUCAUUCCCUAUGCCUCAACCAUAGUUUCUAUAAAGUAUGCCAUGCUGUGUACCAGAUCUAUUGUAUACCCUACACUGAGUUUAGCAAUGGAAUACAAUAGUGAUCUAGGAGUAGAUCACUGGAUAGCGGUCAAAAUUAUCCUUAGUGGAAUAAGGAAAUAUUUCUCGACUAUGGAGGUGAUAAAAGAGUUCGUCGUAAAGAGUUACGUCGAUGCAAGCUUUUUACAUCGAUCUAGAUGACUCUAAGUCUCGAUCUGGAUACAUAUUAAAAGUGGGAGCAAUUAGCUAGAGUAGCUCCAUGCAAAGCAUUGUUGACACAGAAAUUUUCAAAAUACAUAUGGAUCUGAAUGUGGCAGACCCGUAGACUAAACUUCUCUCACAAGUAAAACAUGAUCACACCUUAGUACUCUUUGGGUGUUAAUCGCAUAGCGAUGUGAACUAGAUUAUUGACUCUAGUAAACCCUUUGGGUGUUGAUCACAUGACGAUGUGAACUAUGGGUGUUAAUCACAUGGUGAUGUGAACUAUUGGUGUUAAAUCACAUGGCGAUGUGAACUAGAUUAUUGACUCUAGUGCAAGUGGGAGACUGAAGGAAAUAUGCCCUAGAGCCAAUAAUAAAGUUAUUAUUUAUUUCCUUAUUUCAUGAUAAAUGUUUAUUAUUCAUGCUAGAUUUGUAUUAACCGGAAACAUAAUACAUGUGUGAAUACAUAGACAAACAUAGUGUCACUAGUAUGCCUCUACUUGACUAGCUCGCUAAUCAAAGAUGGUUAAGUUUCCUAACCAUAGACAUGAGUUGUCAUUUGAUUAACGGGAUCACAUCAUUAGGAGAAUGAUAUGAUUGACUUGACCCAUUCCGUUAGCUUAGCACUUGAUCGUUUAGUAUUCUGCUAUUGCUUUCUUCAUGACUUAUACAUGUUCCUAUGACUAUGAGAUUAUGCAACUCCCGUUUACCAGAGGAACACUUUGUGUGCUACCAAACGUCACAACGUAACAGGGUGAUUAUAAAGGUGCUCUACAGGUGUCUCCGAAGUUACUUGUUGGGUUGGCGUAUUUCGAGAUUAGGAUUUGUCACUCCGAUUGUCGGAGAGGUAUCUCUGGCCCCUCGGUAAUACACAUCACUUAAGCCUUGCAAGCAUUGCAACUAAUGAGUUAGUUGCGGGAUAAUGUGUUAUGGAACGAGUAAAGAGACUUGCCAGUAACGAGAUUGAACUAGGUAUUGAGAUACCGACGAUCGAAUCUCGGGCAAGUAACAUACCGAUGGCAAAGGGAACAACGUAUGUUGUUAUGCGGUUUGACCGAUAAAGAUCUUCGUAGAAUAUGUAGGAGCUAAUAUGAGCAUCCAUGUUCCGCUAUUGGUUAUUGAACGGAGACGUGUCUCAGUCAUGUCUACAUAGUUCUCGAACCCGUAGGGUCCGCACGCUUAAAGUUCGAUGACGGCUAUAUUUUGAGUUUAUGGUUUUUGAUGAACCGAAGGUAAUUCAGAGUCCUGGAUGUGAUCACGGACAAGACGAGGAGUCUCGAAAUGUUCGAGACGUAAAGAUCGAUAUAUUGGACGACUAUAUUUGGAUACCAGAAUGGUUCCGGGUGAGAUCGGGAUAAUACCGGAGCACCGGGAGGUUAUCGGACCCCCCCGGAGGUAUAUGGGCCUUAAUGGGCUUUAGUGGAAAGGAGGUAAAAGGAGAAAGGGAGGGGGCGCCCCCCCCCCCCCAAGCCCAACCCGAACUGGGAAGCCCCCCCCCUUUCCUUCCUCCCUCCUUCCUCUUCCUUCCCUCUCCCUCUCCAAAUAGGAAAAGGAGGAGUCCUACUCCCGGUGGGAGUAGGACUCCCCCCUUGGGCGCACCUCCUCCCCUUGGCCGGCCCUCUCCUCCCCUCCUUUAUAUACGGAGGAGAGGGGCACCCCAUAGACACAACAAUUUAUCUCUUGGAUCUUUUUGCUGUGUGCGGUGCCCCUCUCCACCAUAGUCCACCUCGAUAAUAUUGUAGCGGUACUUAGGCGAAGCCCUGUGACGGUAGAACAUCAACAUCGUCACCACGCCGUUGUGCUGAAGGAACUCUCCCUCAAAGCUCGGCUGGAUCGGAGUUUGAGGGACGUCAUCGAGUUGAACGUGUGCAGAACUCAGAGGUGCCGUGCGUUCGGUACUUGAUCGGUCGGAUCGUGAAGACAUACGACUACAUCAACCGCAUUGUGCUAAUGCUUUCGCUUGCGGUCUACAAGGGUACACGGACACACUCUCCCCUCUCGUUGUUAUGCAUCACCAUGAUCUUGCGUGUGCGUAGGAUUUCUUUUUAAAUUACUAUGUUACCCAACAUUAGACUCCUCCACUUUAUCUUACUCCUCACAUUCCCAUCAUCCGACAUAGUAUGACGACAUCUCAGCCCCUUGUAUUCACAUCACACGGUGUUCAAAUCGCACGAGCCACGAGGCCUUGUUUUUUAAACAGAAGUGGUGUACCCAAGCACCCCUAAUGAAAUUGGCGUUCCCUUGAUCCAAAGAAAAAAAGAGUAAAAAGAAACCAAACACUCCCCCCCCCACAUACACCUCCAGCGUUCCUAUGCACCGAAUUGUACACAACCAAUAGUUUCUACAUUGCUACACAUGAAUGAUGCUUACAGUUGAAAUAAAAGGCAACUCAUUGUCGCUUACAACUAAAUAGCAAAAGGAUACUAGGAGUAGAGUUUGACAUAGGCUAGAGUAAGUGCAUUAUAUAUCCUUAUUUCUGUUUCGCAAUUUUUUUUCCUUAUUUCUAGUGUGUGAUUGCCACCCAAGAUUGCAAUAGAACACCAGGUCAACUGACAAUCCAAUCCCUGGUGUUCUAUUAUAUGUCGAGUUAAAUACUAAAAAGUGCUACUAGGAGUAGAGUAUGAGAUGAACGAGAGUAAGUGCAUUAUGUAUAUCCUCAAUUAUAGUGUGCGGUCACCACCCAAGAUUGCAACAGAACACCAAUUUGGCUGACGAAACCAAUCUAGUCCAAUCGCUUAUUGAACUAAAAGUCGGUAUAUGUACUUAGGAGUUGCCUAACUAAAGCAUGCGGUUCAACUUGAUAGAUCUAGUAAGAUUCAACUCGAUAAUCGUUUAAUUCCUAAUGGUUUCUAUAAAAAAUAGUUACAAUAACUAACUCAAACGAAAUAUAAGCGAACAAUCAAACAUCGACCGGCUCACAUGGCUUCCAAAUAAAACUAAUUAACAGAUCGAGUAAUACAUUGUUUAUUCCUUGCUCUUAAUAUGAGGUUAUACAUAACAUAUUUUGGUCCAUCCUGAAGUAAGUAUUACGUAACAAGUACUAGCUAGUAUUUCAGUCUCUACUAGCAAAUGUUGCAAUAGCAAACAGCCUUGAUGGCGUUCUUCUUAUCACAGUGGUAGUCCUUGAGGCUGCCCUUCCUAUCACGUGCAAACACGUCACACGUGGCCUUGCAUAGAGGCUUGGUGCAGAAAAACUCCCCGCCGUCGUCAACGACCGCGAAAUUGUGCUGCACAACACCAAGAAAACACAAACCAUUAUAUUAGAAUAUUAGCGACAAACCCCCAUUAGAUUAGAUUAUACGUAUUUGACAAACACAAUUAAACACACCUGCAGAAAUAGGAGUACCCACAAGUGUUAGCACCACGAGGAAGCAAACAAUAGCAGCCCGUGUGUCCAUCCCAAGAGUUCUCUCCUUUUUUGAACUAGAAGGAAAAAUAUGUGUUCUCUUCGUCUAUUUUAAUUUGGCUAUGGGACUAAUGUUUAUGUCUUGAAGUGCUUGGAGUGUUGUCUUAUAUAGACUUAUUGAAAGGGACAAAAAUAAAAGCAUUUAAAUGAUUGUUAAACUUAGCAAAAGAGAUAGAGGUGAGUCACACCCCAAAAAUGGAAGCACUUAAUGCUGGGUGAGAAAUUAAAUGACGAAGGCAAAGAAUAUAUGAGUGAUGUUUAUCCAAUAAUCAAGGCUUUAAUUUUCGACUACAAAAUAAGCAUGACCAUUCAAAAAAUGGAGUCAUCUUUUUGUCGCUGGUGACAUUGAUCAAACAUGGUUUUUUAUAAAAAAAAAUGUAUAGCCACUUUAAUUGCAAACACCAUUGUGCAUUGAAAUUCAGUUGACUUCAACAAAACAAUCAAUAUGAAUUGCAUGCUUGAUAUGUAACCAACUAAAACUAAAAUUGUAUGUUGUCUCGAGUUGACUAAAUCACCAUUUUUGGCUAGACAAUGUUUAAAACUGUGUCAACUGUGUCAAUUUGCACGGCGCCUGGGACAAUGCAAUGUCAAAUCUUGCACUAUUUUAAACCACCACAAGAUAAGCAAGCUGAGUUGGCCCGGGCCUCUUGCCAGACGCUGGCAUCCACCUCGAAAUCUAUAUCAAUAUAUUUUUUGUAUCACAUGAAUCAUAUAGUAUUGGUCUAAAAUAUAUUUUCUCUUGUUGCAAAAUAUGAAAGAAAAAUCGGCACAACAAUAUUAUAUAGACCCAUCGCAACAAUAGCAUGCUUCACAGUCGGUGGGUCCCAUGUAAAGACAUUUGGAAAUACCUCAAAAAUGCAUAUGUGUACUAUUUAUUAUUGUCCAAGAAUUUCACAUGCUCACUCACAACAAACUGUUGAAGAAUUCCGUGCAACUUAGAAACUAACGUAUGCAACAACGCGAGCACAACAUUUGUGUUAGGACUAACAAAAUUACAUUACAUUGUAGCAUGUCACACAUGUGUAUGUAGUAUGACGCAAAUGAGUUCACAGCAUACCAAAACAACGAAUGGUAACUACAAAAAAUUCCCAUAAAUCUAACAUUUUACAACCAAAAAAUUUGGUGGGCACUGACCUCACCUCAUCAAACUUGCUCUAAUAUUCUAGUUAGUGUAGAGUUUUGGAUUAAGCUAAAGUUGCUCUAGUAUUAUGCCACAACAAAAAGGAAAGAAAUGGGGGAAAACAAAGAAGAGCGGAGCAGGGUGGCUUACUCGGAUCUAAGUCGGCCAAUAUCAAUCGCAUUGCCCUCCUAAAUCCUGAUUACUCAAGCCAGCCCAAAAUUGAGGGGCUACUAAAAUAGAAGUUGAGCCUAUGGUGCAAGAACAGAAAAGCCAUUGGAUUGGAUAUGGAUAGCACAUGAUCUGGUGGAGCGAUCUCAGGCCACUUUUUGUAUAUUUUAUGAAAAAACCCUAUUAACAGUUAGGUACAAAACAAAACAUUCGCAGUGACCACCUUAAGUAUCUCAUCUCCCAAUCCAAUAGUGGAGUUAACGACCAUUUACAGAUUUCAGGUUUUUUCCAGCGACCAUUUAUAGAAUUUGCACAACCUCAUAUCCUAUCAGUUUUAUAAAAUAUAUUUUCACAUACCGAGCACAAAUAUAUGGUUGUAAGAAUGAAGAACUCAUACUCAUGCUUGUUUUAAUUCUAGUAUUUACACCCCUAAGGUUGUUAAGGUCCGGUUACAAAAACUCGAAUUUAAUUCUCUUAUAAGAACUUGUUAGAGUCCUGUCAUAGUGCACAUCCUCUCGUGGAUUCGAUAACUCAAGGUUGCUCCUUCGGGAAAAGGGAGGGAAACCUUUGUUGUCCAAACCGGAUCUCAAAGAGCACCACCCAUCUCUCACCCUACUCGAUGAUACAACAUCGACGACCAGGUACGUGUGUAACCAACCGUCUGCUCCCUCGCUCUGUCACUGUGGUGCUAUUCAUUACAUCAAGUCGGGACCCAUUUCCUUCCUUUUGAGGUUAACAAUUAAGGUUUCUAGUCUAUAUGAGGGCCUUCGGAUUCAACUUAUAAGAAUGUUAGUUCAAAUUUAAUGAUGAUUAUUUCAAGUGGAUGGUUAUGUGAACUAGGUUGGUAGAGUGGUGGCCGACCACUGUUGCGGCGGACUUCAGGGAUGUUUGAUCUAUCCACCUGGCUUGAUCAAGCAGCGUCGACAUUUGUGCAUCAUUAUUUUGUUGAAUAUGUUCGUUCGAUUUGCUUGUUGCAGGGGUGAUAGCCUCUGGUCCGACGUUUGGUUACACGAGACAAUAAGCUCCCCUUGCAAAAGUGUAUGAUGUGGGAAUUACGUGUUGUACUCCUCAGGUGCAAACGCACGUAUAUAUGAUGUACAGGAGUAGGCCACGACCUCAAUUAUACAAGGCAACUAGGAGGUGGGCCCAAUACACAAAUAUGCACAACAAAGACUGGACCGGAACUCCUCAAAAUGAUGCCGUAGGCAAGUCCUUGGUCAUGGUAUAUGCAAAUUGUUGGGAAGUAGGGACGUGUAAAACACGAAUAUGGCCAAGGGCCACCUAUUCCCGAACAAAAUGAAUAUCCAACUCAAUAUGCUUGGUCCGUCGAUGAUGCACCGGGUUAGCGGAGAGGUAGACUGCCGAGACGUUGUCGCAAUAGACCACCGUGGCACGGUCAACAGGGAAAGAGAGCUCCUGAAGCAGCUGGCGAAGCCACGAACACUCGGCGACGGUGUUGGCCACCGCAGGAUACUCAGCCUCAGCGUUGGAACGAGAGACCGUAGGCUGCCGCGUGGAUGACCACGAGAUAAGUGAGGGUCCAAGGUAGACACAAUAGCCCGAGGUGGAGCGACGAGUUUUAGGGCAGCCCGCCCAGUCUGCAUUGAAGUAGGCGGCGAGGGCAGUGUCGGCGGAGGCAUGAAGCGUGACACCAAGAUCCAUAGUGCCACAGACAUAGCGGAGAAUCCGUUUGACAACGGCCCAGUGCAUCUCGAGGAGCAUGCAUAUGAAGACACACCUGCUGCACGACAUACUGGAUCUCUGGUUGAGUUAAAGUGAGGUACUGAAGAGCACCAACAAUAGACCGAUAAAAAGCAGCAUCCGAAGCAGGAGAACCAUCCGUGGCAGAAAGCUUGGCCUUUGUAUAAACAGGCGUAGCAGCGGGCUUGUAGUUAAGCAUGUUGGCCCGCUCCAGGAGCUCAUGAGCAUACUUCCGCUGAUGAAAGAAGAAGCCAUCCGGACGGCACACCACCUCGACACCGAGGAAGUUGUGCAAAGGACCCAAGUCCUUGAUGGCAAACUCAGCGCGAAGACGAGCCAUGAGCUGACCGAGGAGACCAACCAUACAUGCCGUCAGGAUGACGUCGUCGACAUAGAGCAGAAAGUAGGCCGUGUUAGAGCCCUGAUGAUAGACGAAGAGCGAGGCGUCCGAGCGGGUGGAGCGGAACCCAAGCUGGUGGAGAAACGCUGCGAUGCGCUGGUACCAAGCACGCAGAGCCUUCUUAAGUUCAUACAAGGACCGCGAAAGCAGGCACACGUGGUCGGGAAGCGCCGGGUCAACAAACCCGGUGUGCUGCUGGCAGAAGACCUGCUACUCCAGGUGACCAUGGAGCAAGGCGUUGGAGACGUCCAUCUGGUGCACCGGCCAAGCACGGGAGACUGCAAGGUGGAGAACCGUGUGUAUCGUGUCGGGCUUGACGACCAGAGCGAAGGUGUCGAUGAAGUCGAUGCCAGCACGCUGUCGGAAGCCACGAACGACCCAACGCGGUUUGUAGCGAUCAAAGGUACCAUCGGGACGGAGGUUGUGUUUGAAGACCCACUUCCCGGUAAUCACGUUGGCGUGCUGAGGACAGGAAACAAACAUAGAAGAUUUGACUUUAGAAAAAAAAUAGUACAACUUAUCUAUACCUAAUAUUAAAGGACGGAGAUUUUUAUAGUUCUCCAUACAUCUAACUUUAUUAAUAGUCUUCAUCGGCCCACCGGAGCAAGACAAUAAGUAGGCCUGGAAACACUCGAUUCAAUGGGCCUGAAAAAUAAACGGGCAUGCAUCCUCUCUCGCUCAUCUCUCUCCUCUCGAACCCCUCAUAAAAAAUUUCUCUCCUCUCGAUCCCUUCGCUCUCUACUACGAGCGCUCCUGGGGCAGACAUGUUCUCCCUUCUCUCUACCGCUGCGGAUGGCCCAACUUGACUCCGAGACGAACUCUGCUCGAGCACGCACCCAUAGGGUGUCCCGACAGGUUCUUUGCGGUUCCGCAGGCUGGUCUAGGAACAUAUAGAAACAAAUUGACGCCAUCAAACGAAGCCCCAGCUCAAUUGCCUGGUUGCGGAGUGCGGCGGCAUGUCGAGCCGAACGCCGGCAAGAUCAUACAGGAUGAGGCAGUAGAUGCCAACGAUAGUGUGCGUCACCCAACUCGACGCAGGCGAGGAAGAUGAGCAGGACGGCGUUGGAGCUCAGCAGGGCGCCGACGAGAACGUACGGGAAGAGGCGGUAGACGCCGAUGGCGGUGUAGGUAACCCACCCAGCUCGACGAAGGUGAGGAAGAUGAGUAGGACGGGGGGUAGCCGGGGAUUUGAAGAGGACUCGGAAGGGCUACACGAGCAUGACCAGGUCGUCACUGAAUCGGAUCCGUCACCUCAUGCGGCUGAGCUGUUAGAGGACGAUGCAGAGGCUCUGGUCAAAGGCGACCAUGAUGGAUGUGUCACCGCCGGCCACGCGAUAGAGGAAGAAGGUGAGGCUCAAGAGCCGGCCAGCCGAGUGGACGUGCCGGUGCAGUUGUGACCGCUCGGGAGGUUGAAGGCAAGCGAGGGAGCUCAUGCGGCGACGUCGGCAAGGCUCGGUGGCGAGAUAGCGCAGAAGAGCGGUGCAGCGGAGCGACAACCACGAUGCUAGGGCGUUGCGGAGAGAAAGGAUGAAGAGAGAUAGGGCAAGGGAGUCCUACUGCUGGUGGAGGCACGCAGGAGGAGCUCGAGCAUCAGUUGGCGGGCGAAGCAAGGAGUCGCAGGGCUUUCCAGCGACUAUGAUGGUGCGGGUUGAUCUGGGGAGGCUGGGAGAGCUGCCUCCUAGGGGCGCUGGUUCGGGUUGACGUGUGCGUCAUGUGCACUGCUACAAAAUUGCUGGAUAUGUGUAUCUAUAUGUGUGCGGCUGCGAUUUGAAAGUCGUAGCAAUGCACAGGCUUAUAAUUAAAUAAUUAUAUAUCUUUACUUGUUCAGUAGCAACACAUGCUAGCAAGCAGCAGAGACAGUAUACUAUGUUGGCGAUCAUUUGGCGAGCGAGCAGUUGAAUUGCUGCUGGCAUGCAUUGUGCAGGGGCAUGUUCGCUUGGGUCUUGGGACGAAAUCGACUGAGUCAAUAAAUAAUUUUUUAAAAGGAUAUUAGACCCUCGGCCUCUGCAUCAUUCAUUAUGAUGCACACAAAUAUUUUUAGCAAAGUUAGCCAUGGGUCGAACCAUUAGAUAUCAAAUAGACAUCUACAACUAAGUCGACUUCUGCUGCAACAUCUCUUCAAGAAGGGAUAAACUUUCUCGCCAUCGACCGAAACAAUCCGUAAGAAGAAGAAAAUGAUCACACAUGUGAAACAUAAUUGUCAAUACAAAUACAUGACACAUGGUGGUACGAACACACAUCACGAUGGAAGAAUACCAGCAACUUAAAAGCAAGCCUACAUCAAAUCUAUAUUUCAUUAGUAUUUAGUCCAUAUUUUUAUUUCUAUCAACCUAAACUCCAAUUACGUUAAAAUUUAGGUUUGAACUGCAGAUAUGAGAUUUCGAAUUUAAAGAUUGAACGUAUAUUUAAAGUUCUCAUAGUAUGUGUCUAUUUUUUGGGGUGUCUUUUUACUCGAUAGGAAUCCAAUUCAAUGCUCAAAAUCAAAUAACAAGAUUAUUGCUACAUAUUUUGAUAAAGCUAAAUUUUACUUGAAUUUUGGAUGUAGUUUAGACAAAUAAUUCUCACUAAAUCUUACUAUGGGCCAAUUUUUCUCUACCGUUGCAACACACCGGAUCGAGAGUUUCCAAGAAAACAUUGUCAGUCAGAUGCAUUUACUCCAGAUCAUAACUCAUGUCCUAAGCUUCACGUCGUGAUCCUCAAAUCAUGCAUCUUUUUAUUUUCUCAUCAUCAACCGUUGUGACAUGACACAGUUCCUCGACCUGGCCAACCAUGGUUCAUAGGAACUGGUAUAUUUCUCCCGCUGCAACGCACGGGCAUUCGUGCUAGUAUUUUGAAACGGGAGUUAGUAGGUACACCAAUAAUUCGAUAUACCCACAAAAUGCUGGCUCUAGUUCCUUUCAUGGCUCCUUUGAUGUAAGAAAGAUGCUAGUAGUGACUAGAGACAAAGGGAAUCAAAUUAUGGGAGGAGGCGGCCCUAUCUAUAUUCCUCUUCUCCAAGCGGUAGCUCCCGUCCAUCCUUUGCCAAAAGUGGAGCAUCUCUCAUUUCCUUCUUCAUCUUCUCCUCCUCCUCCUUUCUUGAUGCUCACUCGCCUAUAAAUAGCUCUCGCUGCCUGCCAUUGUUACUCAAGCUAGCAAGCAAGAAGCACAAAAGAAGCCAACACCAAUCAAGGCCUCCAUCCAAUCCCAAGCAACCUCGAAGAUGUCUUGCUGCGGAGGAAGCUGCGGCAGCGCCUGCAAGUGCGGCAACGGCUGCGGCGGCUGCAACAUGUACCCCGAGGUCGAGGCCGCCGGCGCCACCCUCCUCGUCGCCGCCACCGCCACCCACAAGGCGUACGUCCCUUCUCUUUCCUCAUACAUCAUGCGCCUCGCUGUAAUAUGACUAUAUAUGUUGAUCUUGCUAUGGGACUAAGGAUGGAUGGAUGGGUGCAGGAGCUCCGGCGGGAUGGAGAUGGCGGCGGAGAAUGGCGGCUGCGGCUGCAC
rnacentral:lncRNA from 1 species